rnacentral:rRNA from 1 species
AGCAGUAGCCGCGGUAAUACGUAGGUGGCAAGCGUUGUCCGGAAUUAUUGGGCGUAAAGGGCCCGCAGGCGGUUUCUUAAGUCUGAUGUGAAAGCCCCCGGCUCAACCGGGGAGGGUCAUUGGAAACUGGGAAACUUGAGUGCAGAAGAGGAGAGUGGAAUUCCACGUGUAGCGGUGAAAUGCGUAGAGAUGUGGAGGAACACCAGUGGCGAAGGCGACUCUCUGGUCUGUAACUGACGCUGAGGAGCGAAAGCGUGGGAGCGAACAGGAUUAGAUACCCCCGUAGUCCCUGUCUCUUAUACA